GGGCGGGACACGUGAAAUCCUGUCUGAACAUGGGGGGACCACCCUCCAAGCCUAAGUACUCCUCAAUGACCGUGCGACAAGUCCGUGAGGGAAGGUGAA
rnacentral:rRNA from 1 species